AGCGAACGCUGGCGGCAGGCUUAACACAUGCAAGUCGAGCGGGCGUAGCAAUACGUCAGCGGCAGACGGGUGAGUAACGCGUGGGAACGUACCUUUUGGUCGGAACAACCCAGGGAAACUUGGGCUAAUACCGGAUAAGCCCUUACGGGGAAAGAUUUAUCGCCGAAAGAUCGGCCCGCGUCUGAUUAGCUAGUUGGUGAGGUAACGGCUCACCAAGGCGACGAUCAGUAGCU
rnacentral:rRNA from 1 species